rnacentral:misc_RNA from 1 species
AUUUUGGGCUUUGACAUAAAUGUUAGCCAUCUGGUUAUCAGAGGCGACAAGCUCAUUCUCUAAUUCUUUAAUUUUCUACUUACGCUCAGCUGCAUCAACUAAGUGACUUUCCUUUUAAGUAGUAAGCUUGAACUCUAAAAGCUUUGAUUUCUCCUUCUCAGACUGCAGCUUACCCUCAAAAUCCUUUAUUUUCGCUCCAAUUUAGGAGACAGCCUUGGUUAGUAGAGAAAUUUUGAUCUCCUGAACAUUAACAUGUCCCCUUAAAGAUAUAACUUUUUCCUUCAAAAGUUGGGUACAGGCAAUCUGCUCCAUUUGCAAGCUAAAGUCUUGGAGGGCAAGGUCUUUGUCAUGCUCAUGCUCUAGUCUAGCUCGAGCUAAGGAAAGAGUAUAUUUCUUACCGAACCAACUAGUAAGAUUGUAAUUAUCAAAGAAGGAUUGAAUGGCGAGCAAUUAGUCGGGGAUUUGUAUGGUCGAUUGUGAUGCAAGAACAAUCUCUAUAACAAUCUCUAUCUCUCUCUUUCUUCCCUUCCCUAUAUUUGGAAUCAGUUAGAUCAGCCACAGUUUAUCUCUUACUGAAGAUAGACGGGGUCAGUGGAGUUGCACUUUUAGCCCUUUUGGUGGUAGGACAUCAGUCUCCUUUGUGCCAAAAACUCAGCUCGCCCUUUUCUUCUGCUUGAUAAGCUUCUCGAUAUUCUUCGCUCAGCUUACCAUAUCCUCUUGCAAAUUGUCGUUAUAAUGCUCGGUCACUACAGGAUCCGUAGUCAUGUGGGUGGCAUUCCACCAAUUGGACUCUGAUUUAAUUGGCUCCUUGAUUGAAAUUUUUUACUUAGUGAGCUAUAGCUUUCGGUUCUUUUAUCACAGCUUUCUCUUCAGCAGUCAGUUCUAAUCUGCUUUUCCUCUUGUCCACGAAGCAAUUCCAG